AAAUCAUUAUUAAUAUAUUAUAUAAUUAUAUAGUAUUAAUUAUAUACAUAAUUGUUGGCGUCAAUUAGAGACUAUUUACUGUAACGUGUCAGACACGAAUUUUGUUCGAAUUUUGUUACACUCUUAUAACAGUAUAGGUGAAUCGGCGACGUUAAAGACAUUACUUGGAUCAUUUAAAAACGAUUUUCCUGCGCUUGGUAUUACGUAAAGCCUUCGGUCGUUAUCGUUAUUAUCUGAUCGCGGUAACAAAAACUCGGCGUUAAUCAUCGCCGGGAAUGCCCCGGAAUAGGUCCCGACAAUGCAUAACGAGAACAGUAAGCCGGCUAUUAUUUCCGCUGAUAGGAAUCUUUAACUACACCGAUUGUUUCUCUGUCGCGUAUCUCGGUCGAAAAUAACAGUACCAGAGUUUGACGUGGAAGGUAUAAAUUUACGGUCGCGCGAUCACGCUCGAUAUUAGUGCCGAUUCCAACGACAGAGGAGCUUCGAAAAUUGCCACCAUGAAGUACCUGUCCAUUCUUCUUUGUCUCUUCUUGUGUUAUGAACUGUCGUCGCAACAUCGCAUCCGAGGUUUCGGUCCCGAGAGGAGGAUGCGCGACGCGAUCUUCGAGGAGUGCGCUAAGGAUGCGGGCGUGACGGUCGAGGAACUGGAUGCUUUGGAUUCCGGGGAAGCGAGGGAGAAAUUUUUGAACGGCGACGGAGACUACAGAAAUGUCGGGUGCUUCUCAGCGUGUCUGCUGCAACGCCACGGUUUC